rnacentral:rRNA from 1 species
AUGAAGAGUUUGAUCCUGGCUCAGGAUGAACGCUAGCGGCAGGCCUAACACAUGCAAGUCGAGGGGCAGCAUGAUUGAAGCUUGCUUCAAUUGAUGGCGACCGGCGCACGGGUGAGUAACACGUAUCCAACCUUCCGUACACUCAGGGAUAGCCUUUCGAAAGAACGAUUAAUACCUGAUGGUAUCUUAAGCACACAUGUAAUUAAGAUUAAAGAUUUAUCGGUGUACGAUGGGGAUGCGUUCCAUUAGGUAGUAGGCGGGGUAACGGCCCACCUAGCCUACGAUGGAUAGGGGUUCUGAGAGGAAGGUCCCCCACAUUGGAACUGAGACACGGUCCAAACUCCUACGGGAGGCAGCAGUGAGGAAUAUUGGACAAUGGAGGCAACUCUGAUCCAGCCAUGCCGCGUGAAGGAAGACUGCCCUAUGGGUUGUAAACUUCUUUUAUAGAGGAAGAAACGCAGAUACGUGUAUUUGUUUGACGGUACUCUACGAAUAAGGAUCGGCUAACUCCGUGCCAGCAGCCGCGGUAAUACGGAGGAUCCAAGCGUUAUCCGGAAUCAUUGGGUUUAAAGGGUCCGCAGGCGGUUGUUUAAGUCAGAGGUGAAAGUUUGCAGCUCAACUGUAAAAUUGCCUUUGAUACUGAAUAACUUGAGUUAUAAUGAAGUGGUUAGAAUAUGUAGUGUAGCGGUGAAAUGCAUAGAUAUUACAUAGAAUACCGAUUGCGAAGGCAGAUCACUAAUUAUAUACUGACGCUGAGGGACGAAAGCGUGGGGAGCGAACAGGAUUAGAUACCCUGGUAGUCCACGCCGUAAACGAUGGUCACUAGCUGUUUGGACUUCGGUCUGAGUGGCUAAGCGAAAGUGAUAAGUGACCCACCUGGGGAGUACGGUCGCAAGAUUGAAACUCAAAGGAAUUGACGGGGGCCCGCACAAGCGGUGGAGCAUGUGGUUUAAUUCGAUGAUACGCGAGGAACCUUACCAGGGCUUAAAUGUAGAGUGACAGGUCUAGAGAUAGAUUUUUCU